rnacentral:rRNA from 1 species
UACCGAGUGAGGGUUCCUAGCGAGCCCAACCUCCCACCCGUGUUUACUGUACCUUAGUUGCUUCGGCGGGCCCGCCAUUCAUGGCCGCCGGGGGCUCUCAGCCCCGGGCCCGCGCCCGCCGGAGACACCACGAACUCUGUCUGAUCUAGUGAAGUCUGAGUUGAUUGUAUCGCAAUCAGUUAAAACUUUCAACAAUGGAUCUCUUGGUUCCGGCAUCGAUGAAGAACGCAGCGAAAUGCGAUAACUAGUGUGAAUUGCAGAAUUCCGUGAAUCAUCGAGUCUUUGAACGCACAUUGCGCCCCCUGGUAUUCCGGGGGGCAUGCCUGUCCGAGCGUCAUUGCUGCCCAUCAAGCACGGCUUGUGUGUUGGGUCGUCGUCCCCUCUCCGGGGGGGACGGGCCCCAAAGGCAGCGGCGGCACCGCGUCCGAUCCUCGAGCGUAUGGGGCUUUGUCACCCGCUCUGUAGGCCCGGCCGGCGCUUGCCGAACGCAAAUCAAUCUUUUCCAGGUUGACCUCGGAUCAGGUAGGGAUACCCGCUGAACUUAAGCAUAUCAAUAAGCGGAGGAAAAGAAACCAACCGGGAUUGCCUCAGUAACGGCGAGUGAAGCGGCAAGAGCUCAAAUUUGAAAGCUGGCUCCUUCGGGGUCCGCAUUGUAAUUUGCAGAGGAUGCUUCGGGUGCGGCCCCUGUCUAAGUGCCCUGGAACGGGCCGUCAGAGAGGGUGAGAAUCCCGUCUGGGAUGGGGUGUCCGCGCCCGUGUGAAGCUCCUUCGACGAGUCGAGUUGUUUGGGAAUGCAGCUCUAAAUGUGAAAUUUCAUCUAAAGCUAAAUACUGG